CCACAAUGUAGUGGAAGAAGAAUACAUCAAAAGAGUUCAAGAAAACAAGACACAUCUCUGAUAUACUAUCCAGCAGAAACACUCAGUUUGCUGUUCGGAGCAUAUUUCCUGAGUCAGAGUUCCAGUGUUCUCUGAGAAACGAUGGCGUUGUGGACUCUCUAUCUGUCUCUCGGUCUUCUGGUCGCUUUGAAUGCUUCAGCGGAAACAAGUUCUGUUGGAUUUAAACAUUGUGGCACCUGUCUGGCAGGAUGGACUUCCUAUGGAUGCAGAUGCUUCAAGUUUUUCAAUGUCCAAUACAGGUGGAUUUCAGCCGAGUAUCUGUGUUUGGCCUAUGGUGGGAACCUUGCUUCUGUACACAGCCAUGCUGAGUACGUGUUCAUAACAGAACCUGGUUAGACAAACAACUCUAUGCAUCAACACGUGCCUGGAUCGGAGGCCAUGAUGCUGUUGAGGAGGGAAAAUGGCUCUGGAGUGAUGGAAAAAGAAUGAACUAUCAAAUAUGGUCUCCUGGAAAUCCCAGUAAUUAUCUUGGAAAAGAGCACUGCCUUGAGAUCAACUAUGACAAUGGCAACUGGAAUGAUGACAACUGUUCUGUACAGAAGCCCUUUGUGUGUGCGAAAUGAACCAGCAUGUGAAGAAUCAAUGUAGAAGAAACAAGCUACUUUGAUUCAUUUACUUUCCAUUAGAAAUGUUCAAUGGAGGUUAAUAAAUGUGUUAAAAAAAAGGUUAAUUUUGUUAAUUAUGUUUGAUUUUUUUGUGAAAGAUAAGUUAAACAUCCUUUUAUAAUCAUCACUCCACGGUCUCUCUCUUUUCACACAAACACAACUUAGAAAAUGUCUGCCAACAAUAAAACAACAACAAAAACAAACAAACAAACAAAAACAUGCAGAUUAGAAAUAAAUAAUUAAUUAAAAAAGUCAAAUGAUAACUUGAAAAAGUUAGUCACCAAAUAUAUUAAUGGCACUCUUAUUUUGUGUCUUAUAUCCUGUACCUUCAAUUAAUGUCAAGUACUUUCUCCUAAACCAAGUAGUCU